UAGAUUGAGCCCGCUGGAUUGGGGUUUUUAGUUGUUAACUAAAGGUUUAUGGGAUCGAGGCCCGUCAAUCUAG
rnacentral:tRNA from 1 species